UGGGAGCUUGCUCCCUGAUGUUAGCGGCGGACGGGUGAGUAACACGUGGGUAACCUGCCUGUAAGACUGGGAUAACUCCGGGAAACCGGGGCUAAUACCGGAUGCUUGUUUGAACCGCAUGGUUCAAACAUAAAAGGUGGCUUCGGCUACCACUUACAGAUGGACCCGCGGCGCAUUAGCUAGUUGGUGAGGUAAUGGCUCACCAAGGCAACGAUGCGUAGCCGACCUGAGAGGGUGAUCGGCCACACUGGGACUGAGACACGGCCCAGACUCCUACGGGAGGCAGCAGUAGGGAAUCUUCCGCAAUGGACGAAAGUCUGACGGAGCAACGCCGCGUGAGUGAUGAAGGUUUUCGGAUCGUAAAGCUCUGUUGUUAGGGAAGAACAAGUACCGUUCGAAUAGGGCGGUACCUUGACGGUACCUAACCAGAAAGCCACGGCUAACUACGUGCCAGCAGCCGCGGUAAUACGUAGGUGGCAAGCGUUGUCCGGAAUUAUUGGGCGUAAAGGGCUCGCAGGCGGUUUCUUAAGUCUGAUGUGAAAGCCCCCGGCUCAACCGGGGAGGGUCAUUGGAAACUGGGGAACUUGAGUGCAGAAGAGGAGAGUGGAAUUCCACGUGUAGCGGUGAAAUGCGUAGAGAUGUGGAGGAACACCAGUGGCGAAGGCGACUCUCUGGUCUGUAACUGACGCUGAGGAGCGAAAGCGUGGGGAGCGAACAGGAUUAGAUACCCUGGUAGUCCACGCCGUAAACGAUGAGUGCUAAGUGUUAGGGGGUUUCCGCCCCUUAGUGCUGCAGCUAACGCAUUAAGCACUCCGCCUGGGGAGUACGGUCGCAAGACUGAAACUCAAAGGAAUUGACGGGGGCCCGCACAAGCGGUGGAGCAUGUGGUUUAAUUCGAA
rnacentral:rRNA from 1 species